AUCGCUUCUCGGCUCUUUGAGCUAAGAUCAAAGUGUAGUAUCUGUUCUUAUCAGCUUAAUAUCUGAUACACUCCCCAUAGGGGAGUCAGAAUAUUAAACUGAUUUUUGAAACCUGACGGAAUUCGGAGCUUGCUCCGACUCCGUCGCGAGUCAGCCCGGCAUUGCAGUUUCGCUGGGAAUGGCUCAAU